rnacentral:rRNA from 1 species
AGUGAACGCUGGCGGUAGGCCUAACACAUGCAAGUCGAACGGCAGCACAGGAGAGCUUGCUCUCUGGGUGGCGAGUGGCGGACGGGUGAGGAAUACAUCGGAAUCUACUCUGUCGUGGGGGAUAACGUAGGGAAACUUACGCUAAUACCGCAUACGACCUACGGGUGAAAGCAGGGGAUCUUCGGACCUUGCGCGAUUGAAUGAGCCGAUGUCGGAUUAGCUAGUUGGCGGGGUAAAGGCCCACCAAGGCGACGAUCCGUAGCUGGUCUGAGAGGACGAUCAGCCACACUGGAACUGCGACACGGUCCAGACUCCUACGGGAGUCAGCAGUGGGGAAUAUUGGACAAUGGGCGCAAGCCUGAUCCAGCCAUACCGCGUGGGUGAAGAAGGCCUUCGGGUUGUAAAGCCCUUUUGUUGGGAAAGAAAUCCAGCUGGUUAAUACCCGGUUGGGAUGACGGUACCCAAAGAAUAAGCACCGGCUAACUUCGUGCCAGCCGCCGCCGUAA